GUAGACGAAGGCGCUCCAUGACUCCGGGAUCCGCUGCUGGACUUGGGAUCCGGGGCUUAAGGUGAAAUCGAGGUACAUUGUCGGAGUCUGGGUGUAGACCGGCGACUGGACGCCGAAGGAUUCUCCGGCAAUGAUGCGGACGGCGCAGCAGGCAUUUCUGAGUGAAUAAUUCCUUUACCAGCAGUCAUCCACUGAGGAAAUUAGAAGUCAUGACCCAUCAAAUGCAGUAUGGAGGUGAACUGAUGAAAUAUUAUUAUUCAAUAAGCUCGAGGAGUGAUGAUCAUCAAUAGUACCUGCAGAUCUCCAGCUCUGAUGGUGCCUUUAUGCCCUGCAAAAUCCUGGUCUUACAUCGCUUUUUCUUGAAUAAACAAGUAGUUACCAUCGGGAACAAAUGGACAGCAACUUUAUUAAAAAACCACUAGAAGAUGGCUGGAUUUUGAUGUUAAAAAAAUAAAAAAAUCGAUAUUUCUUAUCCUCUAGGAAGGCUAGCUUGGAAAGAUUGAUUGACUAAAAUUUCAGGUGGAAUCUUUUGAGAAUUUUCUUGAAGUACAUCUCUUGUAAAAGAGACGAAUUGACAAGACGUUAGACAACUGAAUCUCCUUCUGCCAUAUUAUGCAUUGUGUGCAUGACUAGGUUGAAUUUGAUGCAUCCAGCUUCCCACAACAACAAUGUGGAGGAUGACGUUGACAGUUCUGAAAGAAACAGGAAUUUAUCGAUUAAGUUUCAAAAUUUUUUAAAUCAAGACCAUAUUUUUUUAUUUCAGCAAUUGACCAACAGUUGAAAUUA